rnacentral:rRNA from 1 species
GACGAACGCUGGCGGCGUGCUUAACACAUGCAAGUCGUACGGUAAGGCCCUUUCGGGGGUACACGAGUGGCGAACGGGUGAGUAACACGUGAGUAACCUGCCCACAACUUUGGGAUAACGCUAGGAAACUGGUGCUAAUACUGGAUAUGUGCUCCUGCUGCAUGGUGGGGGUUGGAAAGCUCCGGCGGUUGUGGAUGGACUCGCGGCCUAUCCGCUUGUUGGUGGGGUAGUGGCCUACCAAGGCGGCGAAGGGUAGCCGGCCUGUGGGGGUGACCGGCCACAUUGGGACUGAGAUACGGCCCAGACUCCUACGGGAGGCAGCAGGGGGGAAUAUUGCACAAUGGGCGCAAGCCUGGUGCAGCAACGCCGCGGGCGGGAUGACGGCCUUCGGGUUGUAAACCGCUUGCAGCAGGGACGAAGCUUUUUGUGACGGUACCUGCAGAAGAAGCACCGGCUAACUACGUG